UACGUAGGGGGCAAGCGUUAUCCGGAUUUACUGGGUGUAAAGGGAGCGUAGACGGAUGGACAAGUCUGGUGUGAAAGGCUGGGGCUCAACCCCGGGACUGCAUUGGAAACUGCCCGUCUUGAGUGCCGGAGAGGUAAGCGGAAUUCCUAGUGUAGCGGUGAAAUGCGUAGAUAUUAGGAGGAACACCAGUGGCGAAGGCGGCUUACUGGACGGUAACUGACGUUGAGGCUCGAAAGCGUGGGGAGCAAACAGG
rnacentral:rRNA from 1 species